UUGAAAGGGAAACGAUUGAAGUCAGUCAUGCCGGCGGGAAUCAACUUAGGGGAAACUCCGAGUGCACUUCUUCGCUUGGCAGGUUAGCGUCGAUUUUGGAUGCCAUAAAAUGACUGGGGGAAGGUAGCUCUUUCGGGAGUGUUAAGCCCUUAGUAGAUGUGAUGUCCGGGAUCGAGGAUUGCAACGGAUACCUUUUGGGCUAACCGCCUAGUCUCUAAUAUGAAGUUGGGUUAUGGACAGCACGCUGACUGUGAUCUGAUUUUCGAUUAAAAGAUUAGAGCGAGUGUAAAUUCGUUAAGGAUGUUGACGUA
rnacentral:rRNA from 1 species